CGCACGGCGGUGCUUCCUGCGGACACAGGCGCUUCGAGGCGGCCAGGGCGGCGGCUCAGCGCUGGGGUUCGUCCCCUCCCCGCCCGGCCCGCGGGCUUAGCCGCCUGUGUCUUCCCUGGGCCCCAGCCGUCCCGUGCGCGGUCUGGCCGCUGGAAGCCCGGAGGCUUUCGGAAGUUUUGAUUUGGAACCAGGAAAGGGUUUGAACUCUUUCAGAGUUGUGGGGAGAGGCCACGGUUUCCGGACGUGAAGAACGUCGAAGAAAUUGUUGUUGGCGGUUAUUAGGUUGUGGUUUUCACAUGCGGCCAGCCCAGGAGCUGAGAUUUUAAGAGAUUAUCCCGCCUCCCUUACCCCGCCAGAAACUUAGAAUUUUCUCCAUUUGACAGAUAAGGGAACUGACAAGUGAAACAACUUGAGGAACGGAGAUGUGAACAGCCAACGGGACACCUGCCUCUCCGGGAUCUUAUCUUGGGUGUAGUAGUUCCUUCGUGGAUGUUUGUGCAGUGGAUGACGGAGUGAAUGAAUGCGCAAAUGAACAAGGAGCAAACACACGUAGGAUUAGGUGGCAAAUCUCCCUGAAGACCCUUAGUGUGCCUGUCCUCCAUGAGACUGGAGGCUCUCUGCAGAGGCCUUUGCUGACAACACCUCCUCCAUAUGGAAGGCCAUUUGACGUGCUUCAGAGUGGCAAUAUCCAACCCGUUCUCUAAAGCUUCUGUGCCAUCUCCCGAACGAUGUCCCUCUAAACUCAUUCGCCUCCAGAUUCCCAGACUCGCUUUGUGAACCUCCUCUGAAGGAUUUAGCACAUUAUUUCUUGCAUGUACAGUAACUCGCAUAUGCAACUUGCUUACGUGGUUGAGGGCAGGGACUGUACUGCAGCGGUGUUCGUAUCUCUCUAGCUCCUAACAGAGGAACUUACACGUGAGAAACUCUCAAGGCACCAGCUGUGAAGGCCAGCUGGGGAGAGCCUAGCCUGUCUGUGCUGAGUUCCCAUUUCGGCCCAAAGACUAGAUCCAACAUGGAAGAACAUGGUUUUUUGGCUUCCAAACCAGGUAACUCUGGGCAUCAGACCACAAUCUUCUUAUCAGACCACAACAUUAGUAUUUGCCACCUUGGACAUCACAGGUACAGAGUCAAAGAGGACCAGCACCGCAAAUCCGUUGAAAAGGCCUGGACUGUUGUUACUGAGUUGGUAUUGCAAACUUGGUGGGUGCAAACGGUGAGGUGUAUUUUUUCUUUUUCUUUUUUUCAUUGCUUUAUGAGCCAGGUCAACAUAAGCACCGAGGAGAGAUGCCUGGAUUGCUCCCAAAGAGGAGGCAAUAUGAGCAUAAUUUUCAAGUUAUCCCUGAUGGAAAUUUCCAUGAAUGUGUCUUUGGAUUGAGGGGUCAGUUGAUUGGAUUCAUAUGGAAGUCUGCAAGGGGCUCUGAGUAAGCAGUCUCCUUCACUUUUUUGUUUAUGUUUUUCCUCUUCAUUCACUCUUUGUUACUGAGAUAUAAUUCACAUUCCAUGAAACCCUUUUAAAGUGUGCGAUUUGGUGGCGGUUAUCAUAUUCACAAACUUGUACAGCCCUCAUCACCAUCUUUCCAGAACAUUUUCAUCACCUCUGAAAGAGGUGAUGAAACUCCCCACCCACCUCAAGCCCCCACCCUGGGAACCACUGAUCUACUCUCUGGUUUACAAUGUUUUGUAAUUUUCGUGGUACAAGUCUUGCACUGCUUUUGUUAUAUUCAUUUACUUUUUUUAAUGAUUAUUUAUUUUAGAGAGAGAGAGAGAGCAUGAGUGAGGGAGGGGCAGAGAGAGGGACAGAGGAUCCAAAGCAGACUCCAUGCUGACAGCAGACAGCCUGAUGUGGGGCUCGAUCCCACGAACCAUGAGGUCGUGACCUGAGCUGAAGUCGGAUGCUUAACCAACUGAGCCACCCAGGCACCUGUCAGGUAACACAGAGGAGUGGAUGUUUCCUGACAACCUAGUUUGAUUACAUGGUGAAAGGACAGAAGAGAAGACCAAGUCCAAUGGUCUGAAAUGCGUGCCGCACUGGCUGCUGACAUAAGCAAGCACACUGCCUGCUGGUUCAAGGGGCUGCCCCGGGAGCUAAUUACAGACACGAGGCCGUGUGGCCGGCAGACCGCUGCUGGAUGUGAUUAGAGGGUUUUGGAGUGUUGCCAUCUGCUCACUUUCAUGGACACAGGGGAAGCAGCCAGGGUAAUGUCCCCCUUUAGGCCUGUCUGCCCCAUCCUCCAACCUUCCAGCUGCUCUGGCUGAUGGCCUUGGAGGCGUCUUGACUCUUGUUUCACAUUCUUCAUCAGAUCCACGAGCAGACCGGCUGGCCCUGCUUUGAGCAUGUAUGUGUCAUCUCACCAAUGUUACUUGCCUCUGCUGGAGCUGUGCUGGACCAGGCUCCCGUCAUUUCACAACUGGGGCUACAGAAGCAGCCUCCUGGCUGGUUUUCUUGCUUCUGCUCUGCGUUUUUUGUUUUUCAAACUUUUUAAUAUUUAUUUAUUUUUGAGAGAGAGAGAGAGAGAGAGAGAGAGAGAGAGAGAGCGCACAAGCGGAAGAGGGGCAGAGAGAGAGGGAGACACAGCAUCUGAAGCAGGCUCCAGGCUCCGAGCUGUCAGCACAGAGCCCGACGUGGGGCUUGAGCCCACGAACCAUGAGAUCAUGACCUGAGCUGAAGUUGGACCUUCAGCCUACUGAGCCACCCAGGCGCCCCUGCUCUGUCUUCUUAUGCUUGGCGUUCAACACAGUGGGUAGGGGGAUCCUUUUUACAGAUUUAAGACAUCAUGGAACCGCACUCAGUUCUUCUCUGAAUUCUCCAGAUCCUCGUCCUGCUCAGAGGAAAACCUCAAGUCUGUCCAGGGGCUUGUCACCCCCAUGGUUCUUUGAAUUGAUCUGCCACUCUCCCUGGCUUUCUGGACUUAGGCCACACUGGCCUCCUUCCUGUUGCUGGAGCACAUCAGGCAGGCUUCGGUCUCUACCCCAUUCCUGCUGCCCUGAUGGCUCCCUCUGCCUGUGACGUGGUUCCCCAGAAAACCACAUGGUCCCCUCUCUCACCGCCUUCAAAUCUCUGUGCAAAUGUUUCCUUCUCAGUGAGACCUGAUCACCCUAUUUAAAACUGCAGCUAGGCCUGAAGCCAAGACUACAUUGUGUAUUAACUGACUUGAAUAUAAAUAAAAAGAAAAAAAAAACAGAGAAGGCGGCAAAUCAUAAGAAACUCUUAAAUAGAGACAACAAGCUGAGGGUUGAUGGAGGGGAGGUGGGUGGGGGGAAUGGGCUACAUGGGUGAUGGGCAUUAAGGAGGACACUUGUUGGGAUGAACGCUGGGUGUUAUAUGGAAGUGAUGAAUCACUAAAUUCUCCUAAAACCAACACUACACUAUAUGCUAACUAUCUUGAAUUUAAAUAAUAAAAAAAGAUGGGAAAAAAUAAAUAAAAGAUAAAAUGCAUGGAAAAGAAAUAAAGCUACAGCUAUGUAUUUAGAA